UACAGAGGGGGCAAGCGUUAUUCGGAAUUAUUGGGCGUAAAGGGCGCGUAGGCGGUUUUUUAAGUCAGAUGUGUAAUCCCCGAGCUUAACUUGGGAACUGCAUCUGAGACUGGAAGGCUAGAGUGCUGGAGAGGGUGGUAGAAUUCCACGUGUAGCGGUGAAAUGCGUAGAGAUGUGGAGGAAUACCAGUGGCGAAGGCGGCCACCUGGACAGUAACUGACGCUGAGGCGCGAAAGUGUGGGUAGCAAACAGGAUUAGAUACCCUGGUAGUCCACGCUGUAAACGAUGAACACUUGGUGUGGUGGGAGUUGACCCCUGCCGUGCCGGAGCUAACGCGUUAAGUGUUCCGCCUGGGGAGUACGGUCGCAAGGCUGAA
rnacentral:rRNA from 1 species